rnacentral:rRNA from 1 species
UACGAAGGGGCUAGCGUUGUUCGGAUUUACUGGGCGUAAAGCGCACGUUAGGCGGAUCGUUAAGUCGGGGGUGAAAUCCUGGAGCUCAACUCCAGAACUGCCUUCGAUACUGGCGAUCUCGAGUCCGGAAGAGGUGAGUGGAACUCCUAGUGUAGAGGUGGAAUUCGUAGAUAUUAGGAAGAACACCAGUGGCGAAGGCGACUCACUG